rnacentral:rRNA from 1 species
CCGGGAGUAGACCAACAGGGAUUGCCCCAGUAACGGCGAGUGAAGCGGCAACAGCUCAAAUUUGAAAUCUGGUCCCUAGGGCCCGAGUUGUAAUUUGUAGAGGAUGCUUUUGGUGAGGUGCCGCCCGAGUUCCCUGGAACGGGACGCCACAGAGGGUGAGAGCCCCGUCUGGCUGGCCGCCGAGCCUCUGUAAAGCUCCUUCGACGAGUCGAGUAGUUUGGGAAUGCUGCUCAAAAUGGGAGGUAUAUGUCUUCUAAAGCUAAAUAUUGGCCAGAGACCGAUAGCGCACAAGUAGAGUGAUCGAAAGAUGAAAAGCACCUUGAAAAGAGGGUUAAAUAGUACGUGAAAUUGUUGAAAGGGAAGCGCUUGUGACCAGACUUGGGCGCGGCGGAUCAUCCGGGGUUCUCUCCGGUGCACUUCGCCGCGUCUAGGCCAGCAUCAGUUCGUCGCGGGGGAAAAAGGCUUCGGGAACGUGGCUCCUCCGGGAGUGUUAUAGCCCGUUGCAUAAUACCCUGCGGUGGACUGAGGACCGCGCAUCUGCAAGGAUGCUGGCGUAAUGGUCACCAGCGACCCGUCUUGAAACACGGACCAAGGAGUCGUCUUCGUAUGCGAGUGUUCGGGUGUCAAACCCCUACGCGUAAUGAAAGUGAACGCAGGUGAGAGCUUCGGCGCAUCAUCGACCGAUCCUGAUGUUCUCGGAUGGAUUUGAGUAAGAGCAUACGGGGCCGGACCCGAAAGAAGGUGAACUAUGCCUGUAUAGGGUGAAGCCAGAGGAAACUCUGGUGGAGGCUCGCAGCGGUUCUGACGUGCAAAUCGAUCGUCAAAUAUGGGCAUGGGGGCGAAAGACUAAUCGAACCUUCUAGUAGCUGGUUUCCGCGUUUUCCCCCCUCUCGAG